rnacentral:rRNA from 1 species
AUUGAACGCUGGCGGCAUGCCUUACACAUGCAAGUCGAACGGCAGCGGACCUUCGGGUGCCGGCGAGUGGCGAACGGGUGAGUAAUAUAUCGGAACGUACCUUUCAGUGGGGGAUAACGUAGCGAAAGUUACGCUAAUACCGCAUAUUCUGUGCGCAGGAAAGCAGGGGAUCGCAAGACCUUGCGCUGAUUGAGCGGCCGAUAUCAGAUUAGCUAGUUGGUGAGGUAAAGGCUCACCAAGGCGACGAUCUGUAGCGGGUCUGAGAGGAUGAUCCGCCACACUGGAACUGAGACACGGUCCAGACUCCUACGGGAGGCAGCAGUGGGGAAUUUUGGACAAUGGGGGCAACCCUGAUCCAGCCAUGCCGCGUGAGUGAAGAAGGCCUCGGUU